CUUCACUGGCUCUACCUCACCAACUGUUUCGUGAUAGCACCGAACCGUGGCUGUAUCACCGCAUCGGUCUACGUUCUCCUACAUAUGAUAGAUAUCGUCGCGAUGUAUCAAAGAUGUUAUUGGCGAUGCGUAACAAUUUUUCCGAUACGUCAGAAAUAUUAUUGACUGAAACGAAGAAAGAUGCAGGGAAAUAUUUCUGUAGUUGGCGAAGAUAACGAGAAAUAAAGAAGAGAGGCGCAAUUUCAAACUUAUACCACAGUUAUCAUUGUACCGAGAUGUGUAUACGUGUAAUCAACGUGUUAGCCAGAAACGACGAAUUUUAUUAUACGCGGUGUGCGACCACCGAUGGAAUGCCAUUGCCAGAAAUCUUCAACUCUCGUGUUUGAACCUGGCCACGCGACCCGACAAUCCACGAUUACGUCAUGCUAUCUCAGCUGCUUGCUUUCGCGCACUAUGAUCCUUCCACCACGCCGUCGUGAAGAUGCAACGAGAUCAUGUUUUUUUGGCAGGAGAGACCCGAUUCGAAGAAAACGAAUUUUUUUGCAGAAGGUAAUUUUGGACUCUGCUGAAUUUCUGAACUUUUAUAUUUUACUCUUAC